GACGAACGCUGGCGGCGUGCCUAAUACAUGCAAGUAGAACGCUGAAGAGAGGAGCUUGCUCUUCUUGGAUGAGUUGCGAACGGGUGAGUAACGCGUAGGUAACCUGCCUUGUAGCGGGGGAUAACUAUUGGAAACGAUAGCUAAUACCGCAUAACAAUGGAUGACACAUGUCAUUUAUUUGAAAGGGGCAAUUGCUCCACUACAAGAUGGACCUGCGUUGUAUUAGCUAGUAGGUGAGGUAAUGGCUCACCUAGGCGACGAUACAUAGCCGACCUGAGAGGGUGAUCGGCCACACUGGGACUGAGACACGGCCCAGACUCCUACGGGAGGCAGCAGUAGGGAAUCUUCGGCAAUGGGGGCAACCCUGACCGAGCAACGCCGCGUGAGUGAAGAAGGUUUUCGGAUCGUAAAGCUCUGUUGUAAGUCAAGAACGGGUGUGAGAGUGGAAAGUUCACACUGUGACGGUAGCUUACCAGAAAGGGACGGCUAACUACGUGCCAGCAGCCGCGGUAAUACGUAGGUCCCGAGCGUUGUCCGGAUUUAUUGGGCGUAAAGCGAGCGCAGGCGGUUUGAUAAGUCUGAAGUUAAAGGCUGUGGCUCAACCAUAGUUCGCUUUGGAAACUGUCAAACUUGAGUGCAGAAGGGGAGAGUGGAAUUCCAUGUGUAGCGGUGAAAUGCGUAGAUAUAUGGAGGAACACCGGUGGCGAAAGCGGCUCUCUGGUCUGUAACUGACGCUGAGGCUCGAAAGCGUGGGGAGCGAACAGGAUUAGAUACCCUGGUAGUCCACGCCGUAAACGAUGAGUGCUAGGUGUUGGAUCCUUUCCGGGAUUCAGUGCCGCAGCUGACGCAUUAAGCACUCCGCCUGGGGAGUACGACCGCAAGGUUGAAACUCAAAGGAAUUGACGGGGGCCCGCACAAGCGGUGGAGCAUGUGGUUUAAUUCGAAGCAACGCGAAGAACCUUACCAGGUCUUGACAUCCCGAUGCUACUUCUAGAGAUAGAAAGUUACUUCGGUACAUCGGUGACAGGUGGUGCAUGGUUGUCGUCAGCUCGUGUCGUGAGAUGUUGGGUUAAGUCCCGCAACGAGCGCAACCCCUAUUGUUAGUUGCCAUCAUUCAGUUGGGCACUCUAGCGAGACUGCCGGUAAUAAACCGGAGGAAGGUGGGGAUGACGUCAAAUCAUCAUGCCCCUUAUGACCUGGGCUACACACGUGCUACAAUGGUUGGUACAACGAGUUGCGAGUCGGUGACGGCGAGCUAAUCUCUUAAAGCCAAUCUCAGUUCGGAUUGUAGGCUGCAACUCGCCUACAUGAAGUCGGAAUCGCUAGUAAUCGCGGAUCAGCACGCCGCGGUGAAUACGUUCCCGGGCCU
rnacentral:rRNA from 1 species